ACUGUAAAAGUCACCGGCUCGGCCCGCUCCACUUCCCAAACACGCUUCUAGUCAGAAAACAACAACGUUCAAGGAAAGCAAUUCGUUUCAUCGGCAUGUUGCGGAUCCGUGGCCAUUUCCAGCCUUCACAGCCACAGAUGUUGGAUCAGAUGUAGGUACACAGCAGAUGCUUUCCAGAUGAAGCGAGCUUUAGCAGACAUCUUGAAGAUGUGCGCGUGCUAUCUUGGACAGGGACACGCAUUAUUGGAGUAAGCCUUCCAUCUAGUGGUGACCAAAAGAGUCACAAGAAUUGUCUUGUAAUUAUGUUUCCGGAAGAGAGAAAAAAAUUAAAGCAACUUGAGGAUUCGAAGGCAGUGUUUGGGCAGCUGGACUCCUUUUAUCUCAGGAGUAAAGCACAUUAACUGAAGGUUGAACAUGUUUUUACUUGUGUUCACUUUCAGUUUGCUCAAUUCAUUGUUGGACUGCUCCUUUAUUCACUGAUCGAAGACUCCUGCCAUGAA